rfam:Bacteria symbiont BFo1 of Frankliniella occidentalis strain BFo1 contig066, whole genome shotgun sequence.
AGGCGUAACCGCCUGCAUAAAUGCCAACUUUUAGCGCACGGCUCUGAAAAGAGCCAUUUCCCUGGACCGAAGACAGGAAUCGUCUUCGGUCUUUUUUU